rnacentral:misc_RNA from 1 species
AUUUUUUGAUGCCCCCUGUUCAAGGAUGAAUUGAAUUAAAGCUUCAACUUUUAAACCUCUUCGAACAAUCCCCUGUACUGUUGGAAAACGAGGAUCAUCCCACCCAUCAACCUUCCCAUUUUGAACAAACCACAAAAGCUUACGCUUGCUGAGAAGAGUAUACACCAUGUUCAACCGGCUAAAUUCAUAUAUAUGAACCUUUCUUAGACCCAUAUCUUCCUGGAUUCGAUAGUACUGUGCAUUGCGGUCAUGGUAUUCGCUAGACCGAAGUGCAUGUGUAAUGCCUUCAAUAGAAUCAACAAACGGACAGGCAAAAUCAUAAGUUGGGUAAAUCUUAUACUUGGAACCAAUUCGAUGGUGGGGAACUGGAUUACAACGAUAAUACACUGGAUCUCGAAGAGAUUUAUUAGGGUCUUGCAUAUCAAGUUUUCCACGAAGACAGCAAAGUAAACCCUGCUCAGUUCCUAAAAUCAUCUCCUUCCAUAAUCUUAGAUUCUCUUCAGGACUAUUACUUCUACUUUUUGAUUCAAUGCCUUCCAUUCGUUCUUUCUGCAUCUGCUCACGUGGAGUAUCAUCAAUAUAUGCUUUACCCUGACGAAUUAAGUUUUCUGCCAUUUCCAUCAAUUGAGGGAAGUAAUCUGAAGUAUAUGUGACGGUUUCAUACUUUAUACCCAACGUCUCAAUGUCUUUCAAAAGGUUUUCAACAAACUCAUUGCUUUCUUUAGCGGGAUUUGUAUCAUCAAACCUAAUAAUUACUUCACCAUUGUACCUUUGAGCAAAAUACUGAUUCAAUAAUGCUGCUUUUGAGUGCCCAAUGUGAAGAUAUCCACUAGGCUCAGGUGCAAAACGCAAACGCACCUUCCCAAACUCUGCAUUUGGAAGAUCAACUUCAAAGGUAGAUUUGCUUCCUGCUUUCCCCUUAUUAGAUGUGUCCUGGUUGACACUAUUUGGCUUUUGAAUGAGACCCUGUUGGUCCUUCAAUUUAGGUCCAGAGGACUUUCCGCCUCUUUUGCCAACAUAUGCAGUUAAGACAUCCUCCAAGUCAUCACAAUAUUCAACUAAGAGUGAAUUAAACCAUCGUUGAAGAUUCAGGAAUUUCUUUGACUUUCUCAAGCUUUCCCACCGUUGUCCAGUUCCUGCUAAACCAGACCAGACAGCUACAUCUGCAAGCGACAGAGAAUGGCCAACGAGAAAUGUGCGUCCUUCCAAGUACUUAUCAACAUAACUACAUGCAUUCUCAAAUGCAGAACCAGAUGAAAGGAUAGGAGCAUACUCUAGCCAUUCA